AGAAACGAACCUGCAAUAUCUCCAAGAUGUGCCUGCAAGCAAAUUGUUUCUUAAGGCUUUUUCUACAUAGAAGUGAAAUCCAUAAGUAAAGCAAUUAAACAGAUUAUUAAAGCAAAAAAUGAGCUCAAAAUCAUCAGAUUUUUGAGUCAAAGGCAUAUUUUUUAAGCUUGACUAUGCAGCAGGAUUGCUUGAAUGUCUGGUCCAGCUACGGCCAUCUCUCUCGGAAGGGAUUACAUUUCUGCGGAGCUUCAGAAUUCCUGCAAUGCUUUGAUCUUGCUGAAUCUAUGGCAUGAUUGUAACUGUGAGUCAUGCUACACGGUUUACUACAAAAGGGAUCAUGAUGGAAUGGUGGACUAUGGGGAAGGGAACAUUGAUUCUGAGACUUGUAACUCUUUUCAACAUUUUGAAACAGAGAUUAUUUUACUUAUCUUGGACACGAAGGCAGCAUAACAUCGCAGCGAGGAGCGUGGGCUCUGCAUCCAUGAUCCUAGGUGGGAAUCCACCUUCUGCAGCUCACCAGCUCUGUAACUGUGGGCUCACCUUUUCUCUUCUUGGCACCUCCUUUGCCUGCGCUGUGAAAUGAGGACAGGAUUAACACCGAUUUCAUGGAGAUACUUUGAGGGUUAAAAAGGCAAUUUAAUGUAAAACAUUUGGAACAGUGACUGGUUAAAAAUGUAAGCAUUCUAUUGAUAGUAGUUGUUAUUAGAAAAGCUACUUUUUUGUUGUCUUUUCACGUUAUGCUAUUCUAGAAUGAGUUAGUCUGCACAGACUCUCAAUACACAUCCCUCAACUAAAAAAAGCAAGGGAGUGGGAUAUCAAAGUUUUCGAACAUAUGCAUCUAGUUGUAAUUUUUUUCUUAUUUGAGUCUCACAACUUUCUGUGAUAUAAGUAUUUUUACUCUUAUUUACACAUGAAACAACUAAAAACUAUGCAACUUAUGUAGAAUGCUUUAUAUGCUAUGUAUAAACACUGUAUCAAAAUUAUAUUAAGAGAUAUAAUUCUACAAUUCCAUAGGAGAUAAGCUUACCAACUCCAAUGUAUGUUUGUCAAAAUUAAGUUAUAAGAGUAUUAUCAAUUACCCAUUUUAUGAUCAUGUACAAAUUAUAGUUGGACACAUUUCUAACAAAAUUAAUUAAAUGAAAUAAAAAGUCAAUUAAGC
rnacentral:lncRNA from 1 species